rnacentral:rRNA from 1 species
UACGUAGGUGGCAAGCGUUGUCCGGAUUUACUGGGCGUAAAGCGCGCGCAGGCGGACUGAUCAGUCUGGGGUGAAAUCUCCCGGCUCAACUGGGAGCGGUCCCUGGAUACUGUCAGUCUUGAGAGACCUAGAGGAGAGCGGAAUUCCCGGUGUAGUGGUGGAAUGCGUAGAUAUCGGGAAGAACACCAGUGGCGAAGGCGGCUUACUGGUCCGGUUCUGACGCUGAGGCGCGAAAGCGUGGGGAGCAAACAGG